UUUUUUUCUUUUUUCCUGACAUUUAUUUUUGUUUUUUCCCCUAUUUUUCACUUUAUAUAAAGAGCAUAGGAUACUUAUGCCCAAGUUAGUCUGCCUAGUAUCUUCAUAGACAAUAAUUUAACAAAUAGCAAGAAUUUCCAUUCGAAUUGUUUUUAAAAAGUGUUCCUAACAUCACUGCAAUACAUUUCAAAGUGACCUACCAGCAAGUGAUGAUGCUGACAAAUACGACUCAUUUGGAGCUGUGCAUUUCCACAGACUCACCUGAAUUUGAUGACCUUUGUCAGUCCCUCUCCUGUCUACCUGCCAGCACCCUCCCUCUCGUCCAGGAUCCGCAUCCUGGAAGACUCCUCACUUCGAUCAGAUGAUACCGUGAGUUCAACUGCCUUCCCUACACUAAAGCCCAAACUGUAUUUUCUUUGAUUCCUACUUAGCAAGCAUGUUAAGAUACACCUCAACUAGAUCCCAGAUUCAAAAUGAUUAGAAAAGGAAUUUAAUUACAUUUUUGGAGUGCAAAAGGAAGAGUGUAUGUAACACGCGGGAUGAAAGAAAGUCUCUAAGCCGAGUUACUCACAAUAACGUUAGAAACAUUUUUCCAUAGAAGUGAUAAUUCAGCCAUCUCUGCUCCAACCAUCACCAAUCUGAACAUGCAAAAGGAUCACGUACGCAAAGCACAGAAUGAAAACAAUGAUAAAAUCUGAAUGCAUUGCAUGGGAGAAAGUAAAGAAGAUGAAAGCCUGCUAGUAUUAACCAGCCAUUCCUUUGAUGUUAAUAUCACAACACUUAAAAAUAGCUAAAGAAAGAAGGAAAGUUUGACUAACCAAGAGUGUCAUAAUAAAGAAGCCAUUAUUUUAACACUGGUGCAUGGGAGGACGUGUACACUCACAGAGCAGUUUCAUGUUCUAUUGGGAUUUCAUAAUGUCUAAUCCAUUAUAAAGGAAAAUAUAGAGAGACACAGGUAUAUACAUAUAUAUAUGCAUACACAUGAGUGUGUGUUUUAAUCAUAAAGACCUCAUGAACUAUGAGAGUCUGAGAUGCUGGAUCUGAACCCACAAAAAAAACCUCUGACUGCAAACAGACGAUCCAAGAAGCCCAACAAUAUGCAAUCAUGACACAAUGAUCUUAGUUUGCAGAUGUGAACAUGUCUUUCAUUAAAAGCGUUCCUUCUCAAGACAGUGCAAUAACACCAAUUACUCUCCAUUCCUGAACCUCCACAUGCACAAUAGGGGGAUCAGGACUUGAAACGGUGCCAUGAUAUAAAAGGGAAAUGACGGAGGGGAAGAAAUGGGCUUUGGAUUAAUGAGCUGGCACACACACGCGGCCUUAAUGGGCAGUGCUGACAGGGUUCAAUUACAGAGGAGCACAGCCUCAUUACUGGCAGUAGCUGUCACUUAGGGCGCUGGUGCACAGGAGAACCCAACCACUGCAGACAAAGGAAAGGAGGAAGAGAUGCAAACAAAAGACAUCUACAAAGCAUCCUCGGGAGCAAAGGGCCCACCCUCAUCCCCAACGCGCGCGCGCGCACGCACACACACACACACACACACACACAGAGGCAAACACCCACGUGCCCCUCAGCUCUACUUAUAAGCCAAUGCACACAGGCACGAGAUCUUCCUAUUUACACACAGUGGAGUGUCCUCUAGCCUGGCUUGCUAGUUGCUUAUUAAUGGAGGACUUUUAGGCAGAAAUGCUAUUAAUUAAGAGCUAGUGUCAAGAUGAUUUUAAAAAUGGGAACUUAAAUAUUAUCCUUACGAAAAAUAAAUCCCAUUAUAAACUGUGAGUCUCUUUACUGGGCACUGCUGCCUUCCUGGUCCAUCCCUCCACAUCGUCUUAUUAACAGUGACCACCAUUCACCACAUCAUCUUCAUUACAAAGUCAAAACAAAAAUGUAAGAGGAAGCAUUUGGAUUCCAUGAAUCGUUAUGUGCGAAUUUAUAGGCUAUUUAAAUUCUCUUCAUGUCCUGAUGUUCAAAUGGAGGGGGAAAAGUGCUAAAUGGAAAUUUGAUAAGGCCUGACUAAUAAAAGUUUCAACAUCAUGUGGGAUAAAGUCUUGCCACAGAAAAUCCAUCUCUAAAAUGCCUUCCAUGAAUUUACUUAUGAAAGACAAAAGGCUACCUCUCUUUCUCUCAAAAAAUCUUCUACUUCUUAAAGACAAGUAUACGUUUAACCAAUGGAUUCAAAAACAGAGGCUUGAUACCAAAAAUAAAAAUGCUAAUAUAAAACAACAGUCCAUCUACUAUGCAUGUAUUCAAAUUUUAACACAUAACAUACACCCUGAAUGCCUCAUGUCCAGUAUAAUCUUAUGAUAGUUUAACAGCAAAUUACAAGCUGACAUUUUUUCUCCUAGAAAAACAUCUGUAGGUGAAUCCAGAAGAACCCAUGUUUAAAUAAUGAUUGAGUUACUUUCCAAUUACCUACAAAAACAAAUUCAGAAACAAACUCAACUUUAGCAGAGCUAAUUCUAAUUAAUCCUAAUGCUUUAGUGUCUUUUUUAAAAAAGAAGCAAUAGAAAAUUCUCAGGAUUACUCUGAGGAUAGUUUUCAGCUGUCCUUCCUGAAUCCAUAAUAAACAUGUACAACUGAAACUGAUUUAAGCCUUGGCGUACACCCCACAAAUUAGAAGGAAUAAUACACGAAUGCACAGAGCAUACAUGACUAGGUCAAGUGAAGCUAAAACAACAAGGAACACGCGAAAGGAAAACAUCUCAAAUGACUGGACACUCCUACACCAACAAACUAUCUCUUGAAAGACCAAUAAGCCUUACACUAAAAAAAGUGAGUACAAGUCAUCAUUUUUCCACAAGGGAUUCAUACUAAGACCUCUUCCAGUUCAGGCAGAUGCCAGAAACACAGCUAGUUAUGAUUCUGGACGGAAAACACAAUGGAAGAAACUGAAGGAUGAACACUUCCAUUCAUUUUUAUACCAGAGCCUACAUUCUCAUCCUACCAUCUACAAGUAAUUAGAACCCCAACGCGAUUAGCUUAGUUGGACAAAGCAUCCUUUGACCAGGACGACUGUACUAUGGUGGUAAUUUCCACUGUGAAAUACGGACCUGGGCCACAGGCUUCCUCGUCCUCCUAGUUAUUCACAGUCCAGGAGCUCCUGCUGUCAUAUGCUCCUUACGGCCUAAGGACCAGGAGGACCAGGGAGGUGGAGCCAUUAGCUGCCUGAUCACAAAUGGUGUGUCAUCCUCCCUUGUCCGGCUGGAGUCUGCCCACACCAUCUCCCCUCGCCCAGACUCACCACUGCAGUCGAGGGAAUGACCUCCAUGGUUCCCCAAUGACCUCCGUAGCUCCUCACUAGCUACAAGGUCAAGAAGUUCCGCUACGAGUACCCAACACAGUACCACUGAAAAAAAGACUUGGGUCAUGUAACACUCAUUGCAUACCAAGAAAAGUCAGAUCGCUGCUUUCUGAUAUGGAGGAGCUCCAUACAGCACUGGGUGGCCCCAGGAACAUGAACAAAGGCAAGCUACUUAGUCCUGUAAAGUUAUAGGUGGUGCUACUAAGGCAAUCUCUACAGAGAUUUAAUCGACUACAGAGACACAGAGCGAUGCGUAUCUCAGCCUCUACGUGCAGAGCUUAGCUCCUGCAGAAUGCUGAUGUUCCCUCUCCCUACUCUUUACCAUGACGCAUGACUUCAUGAUGUCUUAAGACCCACAGCGUUUUGCGGCCCGUGUGUCAUCUCGGAUCUGCCGAGCUAAACCCCAAGGGUGGAGGAUGAGGACUGCCACAGCUUAAGGGCUGUGCAACCACUGAAAAUAUAGCUUAUGUAUGCCUCUGAUCUCAAUGACAUAAUUGCCACAGACCAAAAUACACUGCAACUACCUCAUCAUUCCCUGCCUACAUACUAGCAGUUCAAAGAAAGAUCUCGUCUUUUGGUCUUUAUCAUAGUCUUAAAAUACCCCAUAGGAUUCUUAUUGAUAAAAUUUGUUGUUACUAAAAUAUGUCUUUGUUCCUUUCCGAAAAUUCCAAAUGCUAUCGUAAGAGUCGUUUUUCCUCCUAAGAUAUGGUAAGCUAUGUACCAAGCCAUAAGUACAGUUACCAAUGCAAAGGAAGAGGAAAUGAAAUUACGAAGGAGUAUAUAUAAAGAGAUACAGCUUAAGUAUUUUUAUAUUAUAGUUCAGUAAAGAUUUACAUGUUUACUCUUAACUUUUUAUAUUACCAGAUAUGGCAUUUUUUAAAAGUAAAAUUAGGAGUUUCCACUGUGGCUCACAGGGUUAAGGACCCACCACUGUCUCUGAAGUGGCUCAGGUUGCAGCUGCAGCUCAGAUUUGAUCCCUGGCCCAGGAAUUCCAUACAUCAUAGGCACAGCCAAAAAAAAAAGGUAACAGGUAAAAUUAACAAAAAACAUUAAAUUCAGGUUAACAGAAAAUAAUUAUUGACAUUUCUCCAACCAUGAGAUGGGUGUUUCCUGUUAUUUCCAGUAGAGAAUGUUUGUCUUACUGUUCUCACAUCUCAAUGCAAAACAGCUUCACACAUUUUUUACCAGUGUUUCCAUCUGCAGGCCUGCCCCUCAGUGACCCAGAUCACUGGCAUCUGUAGGAAACCCAUACAACAGUUCCUCCUAAGACCUGGGAGACAGACACGGCUUAAGCCAGACCCAGCAAACAUCCCACCAAUAACGUGCCUUUUCUUUGGUUGGUUUCCCACUUCCAGAAGGCUGCACCACCCUCAGUCAACAACAUCCAUUUCUCCCAAAUUGACUCAAGAGGGGCUCUUCCACUCUGACCAAAAAUCCAAGUUUAUGACUUGUUCUAAUAUUUAAGAGCUGCAAAAUUCCAUAGUCAUCCAGUGUGUGUGUUGCACCCCCAACUGUAAACAAAUUCAUCCCAUGCACACUCCAUAAAACCAAACGCCAAGCAACAACAGUAGUUUCAGCUGUGGUGAACACUCAAGACACCUCAUUACUGCCAGAGGCUGUCACUUAGGGCGCUGGUGCACAGGAGAACCCAACCGACUGCAGACAAAGGAAAGGAGAAAGAGAUGAAAACCAAAGACAUUUACAAAGCAUCUUCAGAAGCAAAGGGCCUACCCUCAUCCCCAACAC
rnacentral:lncRNA from 1 species